UACGUAGGGUGCGAGCGUUGUCCGGAAUUAUUGGGCGUAAAGGGCGCGUAGGCGGCAAUUCAAGUCAGUUGUGAAAUCUCCGAGCUUAACUCGGAACGGUCAACUGAUACUGCUUUGCUAGAGUGCAGAAGGGGCAACUGGAAUUCUCGGUGUAGCGGUGAAAUGCGUAGAUAUCGAGAGGAACACCUGCGGCGAAGGCGGGUUGCUGGGCUGACACUGACGCUGAGACGCGAAAGCGUGGGUAGCAAACAGG
rnacentral:rRNA from 1 species